UUUCUUCUAUCAAUCGCAGCUUUCAUAAGUCUUGUGAUGUUAAUAGGUGGUAGAUGAGUCGUCCCUCUGCCACACGUGUACUGGCUUUAUGCUGUAUGAGUUCCAAAGAUUUACGAACAUUU
rnacentral:snoRNA from 1 species